rnacentral:rRNA from 1 species
UUAAGCGACUAAGCGUACACGGUGGAUGCCCUGGCAGUCAGAGGCGAUGAAGGACGUGCUAAUCUGCGAUAAGCGUCGGUAAGGUGAUAUGAACCGUUAUAACCGGCGAUUUCCGAAUGGGGAAACCCAGUGUGUUUCGACACACUAUCAUUAACUGAAUCCAUAGGUUAAUGAGGCGAACCGGGGGAACUGAAACAUCUAAGUACCCCGAGGAAAAGAAAUCAACCGAGAUUCCCCCAGUAGCGGCGAGCGAACGGGGAGCAGCCCAGAGCCUGAAUCAGUGUGUGUGUUAGUGGAAGCGUCUGGAAAGGCGCGCGAUACAGGGUGACAGCCCCGUACACAAAAAUGCACAUGCUGUGAGCUCGAUGAGUAGGGCGGGACACGUGGUAUCCUGUCUGAAUAUGGGGGGACCAUCCUCCAAGGCUAAAUACUCCUGACUGACCGAUAGUGAACCAGUACCGUGAGGGAAAGGCGAAAAGAACCCCGGCGAGGGGAGUGAAAAAGAACCUGAAACCGUGUACGUACAAAGCAGUGGGAGCACGCUUAGGCGUGUGACUGCGUACCUUUUGUAUAAUGGGUCAGCGACUUAUAUUCUGUAGCAAGGUUAACCGAAUAGGGGAGCCGAAGGGAAACCGAGUCUUAACUGGGCGUUAAGUUGCAGGGUAUAGACCCGAAACCCGGUGAUCUAGCCAUGGGCAGGUUGAAGGUUGGGUAACACUAACCGGAGGACCGAACCGACUAAUGUUGAAAAAUUAGCGGAUGACUUGUGGCUGGGGUGAAAGGCCAAUCAAACCGGGAGAUAGCUGGUUCUCCCCGAAAGCUAUUUAGGUAGCGCCUCGUGAAUUCAUCUCCGGGGGUAGAGCACUGUUUCGGCAAGGGGGUCAUCCCGACUUACCAACCCGAUGCAAACUGCGAAUACCGGAGAAUGUUAUCACGGGAGACACACGGCGGGUGCUAACGUCCGUCGUGAAGAGGGAAACAACCCAGACCGCCAGCUAAGGUCCCAAAGUCAUGGUUAAGUGGGAAACGAUGUGGGAAGGCCCAGACAGCCAGGAUGUUGGCUUAGAAGCAGCCAUCAUUUAAAGAAAGCGUAAUAGCUCACUGGUCGAGUCGGCCUGCGCGGAAGAUGUAACGGGGCUAAACCAUGCACCGAAGCUGCGGCAGCGACGCUGAUGCGUUGUUGGGUAGGGGAGCGUUCUGUAAGCCUGCGAAGGUGUGCUGUGAGGCAUGCUGGAGGUAUCAGAAGUGCGAAUGCUGACAUAAGUAACGAUAAAGCGGGUGAAAAGCCCGCUCGCCGGAAGACCAAGGGUUCCUGUCCAACGUUAAUCGGGGCAGGGUGAGUCGACCCCUAAGGCGAGGCCGAAAGGCGUAGUCGAUGGGAAACAGGUUAAUAUUCCUGUACUUGGUGUUACUGCGAAGGGGGGACGGAGAAGGCUAUGUUGGCCGGGCGACGGUUGUCCCGGUUUAAGCGUGUAGGCUGGUUUUCCAGGCAAAUCCGGAAAAUCAAGGCUGAGGCGUGAUGACGAGGCACUACGGUGCUGAAGCAACAAAUGCCCUGCUUCCAGGAAAAGCCUCUAAGCAUCAGGUAACAUCAAAUCGUACCCCAAACCGACACAGGUGGUCAGGUAGAGAAUACCAAGGCGCUUGGAGAGAACUCGGGUAAGGAACUAGGACAAAAUGGUGCCGUAACUUCGGGAGAAGGCACGCUGAUACGUAGGUGAAGUCCCUCGCGGAUGGAGCUGAAAUCAGUCGAAGAUACCAGCUGGCUGCAACUGUUUAUUAAAAACACAGCACUGUGCAAAAACACGAAAGUGGACGUAUACGGUGUGACGCCUGCCCGGUGCCGGAAGGUUAAUUGAUGGGGUCAGCGCAAGCGAAGCUCUUGAUCGAAGCCCCGGUAAACGGCGGCCGUAACUAUAACGGUCCUAAGGUAGCGAAAUUCCUUGUCGGGUAAGUUCCGACCUGCACGAAUGGCGUAAUGAUGGCCAGGCUGUCUCCACCCGAGACUCAGUGAAAUUGAACUCGCUGUGAAGAUGCAGUGUACCCGCGGCAAGACGGAAAGACCCCGUGAACCUUUACUAUAGCUUGACACUGAACAUUGAGCCUUGAUGUGUAGGAUAGGUGGGAGGCUUUGAAGUGUGGACGCCAGUCUGCAUGGAGCCGACCUUGAAAUACCACCCUUUAAUGUUUGAUGUUCUAACGUUGACCCGUAAUCCGGGUUGCGGACAGUGUCUGGUGGGUAGUUUGACUGGGGCGGUCUCCUCCUAAAGAGUAACGGAGGAGCACGAAGGUUGGCUAAUCCUGGUCGGACAUCAGGAGGUUAGUGCAAUGGCAUAAGCCAGCUUGACUGCGAGCGUGACGGCGCGAGCAGGUGCGAAAGCAGGUCAUAGUGAUCCGGUGGUUCUGAAUGGAAGGGCCAUCGCUCAACGGAUAAAAGGUACUCCGGGGAUAACAGGCUGAUACCGCCCAAGAGUUCAUAUCGACGGCGGUGUUUGGCACCUCGAUGUCGGCUCAUCACAUCCUGGGGCUGAAGUAGGUCCCAAGGGUAUGGCUGUUCGCCAUUUAAAGUGGUACGCGAGCUGGGUUUAGAACGUCGUGAGACAGUUCGGUCCCUAUCUGCCGUGGGCGCUGGAGAAUUGAGGGGGGCUGCUCCUAGUACGAGAGGACCGGAGUGGACGCAUCACUGGUGUUCGGGUUGUCAUGCCAAUGGCACUGCCCGGUAGCUAAAUGCGGAAGAGAUAAGUGCUGAAAGCAUCUAAGCACGAAACUUGCCCCGAGAUGAGUUCUCCCUGACUCCUUGAGAGUCCUGAAGGAACGUUGAAGACGACGACGUUGAUAGGCCGGGUGUGUAAGCGCAGCGAUGCGUUGAGCUAACCGGUACUAAUGAACCGUGAGGCUUAACCUU